rnacentral:rRNA from 1 species
UACGUAGGGGGCAAGCGUUGUCCGGAAUCAUUGGGCGUAAAGAGCGCGUAGGCGGUCCGGUAAGUCGGUUGUGAAAGUCGGGGGCUCAACCCUCGGAGGCCGACCGAUACUGUCGGGCUAGAGUCCGGAAGAGGCGAGUGGAAUUCCUGGUGUAGCGGUGAAAUGCGCAGAUAUCAGGAGGAACACCAAUGGCGAAGGCAGCUCGCUGGGACGGUACUGACGCUGAGGCGCGAAAGCCAGGGGAGCAAACGGG